ACGUAGGAGGCAAACGUUAUCCGGAUUUACUGGGCGUAAAGCGCGUGUAGGUGGUUCUGUAAGUAGGGCGUGAAAGCUCCUGGCUCAACUGGGAGAGGCCGUUCUAAACUGCAGAGCUAGAGGAUGGUAGAGGGAGGUGGAAUUCCGGGUGUAGCGGUGGAAUGCGCAGAUAUCCGGAGGAACACCAGUGGCGAAGGCAGCCUCCUGGGCCGUUCCUGACGCUGAGGCUCGAAAGCUAGGGUAGCAAACGG
rnacentral:rRNA from 1 species